UACGUAGGGGGCUAGCGUUGUCCGGAAUCAUUGGGCGUAAAGCGCGUGUAGGCGGUUUGGUAAGUCCGCUGUGAAAGUCGGGGGCUCAACCCUCGAAUGCCGGUGGAUACUGUCGAACUAGAGUGCGGAAGAGGCGAGUGGAAUUCCUGGUGUAGCGGUGAAAUGCGUAGAUAUCUGGAGGAACACCGGUGGCGAAGGCGGCAUCCUGGACCGGUAUUGACGCUGAGGCGCGAAAGCUAGGGGAGCAAACGGG
rnacentral:rRNA from 1 species